UUUUUACUGUUAUUUAAAAUGUAAUUGAAACUGCCUAAAUUAAGUGGAUGAUUUGAUAGUAAAGACUGUAAUCCUAAUAUGUCCGUAGCCAACAAAGUGAGUUAAAGAGUGAAAACUAUCUAGAAAGGGUGAUUCUGUAUAGUGUAAAAGUACAUUGAACUGAAACAGAAAAGAUAUGAAUUCUAGCCCCAGUUUUAUGCAGUAAAACCAAUUUUGUGCACCUCUACAGACAAGUUACCUCUCUGGGUAGAACCUAUCUAGCCAGAGAGAGUAACAAAGAAACACAACAAGACAAAAACACACAGGAGAUUUGGGUUACAACAUCAUUAAUGUCCCUUCCUGUUCUAAGACAUGAGUUUUACUUAUUUUUAAAGGCUGACACCAUAUCAAAGAAAGUAAGGCUUUAGAGAUAGCAGCAGAAGGUUCUGGGACCUCUUUCUUACAUGAACAGCAGUCAAGUAUAUUUUUAUAAGAGAAAAGAUGACUCCAGGAACAUAAAUGCCUGGAGAAGUACAUCAGCAACUUGCCAAAACACUGUAAACAAGCUGGUCAAGAUCAAUGUGUAACCAAGCUAGCUGCUGAGCACCUAUUGUAUUAAUUUAGGACUGAUAUAUAGAGAUAAAAGGAGGAAAUUGUUUGCAUGAAAUUAACCGGAGUCACUGCUCUACCCUAAAUUGGAAAUCUUUCUUCCCAGAGAAUCAUGCUUCUCUAGAUCUUGAUUCAGGAAACAUCCGAGAAACAGGUAAAAGUAUAGAUUGUUUAAUCUGGGGUAGGGUAUGUUUUAGUAUUAAUUUUACAAGUUAAAAUCCAAAUUUCCUUCAGAACAUGGACCUAACAGAGAAGAAGAUUGGUGGAAGUUAGUUCACAGUGCGUAAUGACUGGCUUUCUAUUGCCAGACAAUGUGUAUAAUUUUAUUCUAAAUUGGAGUACAAUGAUACAGAUAGAAAUCAAAUCAAGGAAAUCUCCUUUUUAAACUGCUUAAAUAAUUUCUUAGAUGCAUGCUAAUUUUUUAACAUGCAUUCAAUUCUAUCUCAUCUCCUUCAAUUUCUUAGCUGCUUUUGGUACAACU